rnacentral:rRNA from 1 species
GAUGAACGCUGGCGGCGUGCCUAAUACAUGCAAGUCGAACGCUGGAGAUCUAGCUUGCUAGAUCGAAGGAGUGGCGAACGGGUGAGUAAUACAUAAGCAACCUACCCACGAAGACUGGGAUAAUCUCUGGAAACGGGGACUAAUACCGGAUAGGUAAUCGGAAGGCAUCUUCUGGUUAUUAAAGGUUAAAAACACUGGUGGAUGGGCUUAUGGCGCAUUAGUUAGUUGGUGAGGUAACGGCCCACCAAGACGAUGAUGCGUAGCCGGCCUGAGAGGGUGAACGGCCACAUUGGGACUGAGACACGGCCCAGACUCCUACGGGAGGCAGCGGUAGGGAAUUUUCGGCAAUGGGGGCAACCCUGACCGAGCAACGCCGCGUGAGUGAAGACGGCCUUCGGGUUGUAAAGCUCUGUUGUAAGGGAAGAACGGUAGAUAGAGAAUAUCUAAGUGACGGUACCUUACCAGAAAGCCACGGCUAACUACGUG